AUGGCGUCGCCAGCGAUGCUGCCGUCGUUACCAGACGACUUGAUCUCCGAAAUACUCUCAUGGGUGCUGGUCAAGUCCGCGUGCAGAUUCUGCUGCGUGUCCAGGGGGUGGCACGCCCUCAUCUCCGGGCCGGCGUUCGUCGCCACGCACAGGUCCCGCACCGACCCGCAGCUUCUCCUCCUCGCCACCAGCUACCACCACAAGGAACACGGCCGCAGAAGCUACGACCUACAAUUGCUGGACGUGGAUGGUGAGGUCGUGCGAGUGAACAAGAGCGUAGGCGCCUUUUGGACCAUCUGCUACGGUCGUGACGACGCCCUAGUCUGUGUCACCUUCGGUUUCUGCAAGCCCCGGGACUUUCUUGUGGCCAAUGUGAUCAAUCCGGCGACCGGAAGUGUGCUCGUGAAAACCACGGAGUUGGAUGAUGGAGCAUCCUACGACGUCUACAUGGGGGACUUCACCGUUGGUUGUGCGGCCCCGUCUGGCGCGUACAAGGUGGUACGCCUCAUGGGCAACGAUCCUCAUCGGCCUUGGAAGGUUCUCACCUUGGGAGAUGGUGCCAAGUGGAGGCAGGUGGGGUUUCCCGCAGCCACGCAGUCUACCAGAUAUGACCGGGGACCUGUGGUCACAAUCGCCGGUGUCAUGCAUUUUCUUUACACAUCGGAAACAUCGUGCGAGGAUUAUAUAUUCCGCCUUGAUCUCGAGAGUGAGAAAUGGGUGGCGACGCUCAAAGGCCCAACAAGUGACGAGUUACAAAUGGAUGUGUUGAUAAAAUAUCUUCUCCGGUUCAAUAAUGACACCCUCUGCUUGGUUCAGUGGGAGAAACGCUUGACCAACAAUGUGUGCUCGAACAUAUGGCUCCUAACUGAUCACGCUAAAGGCACCUGGGUAAAGGCGUACACGGUAUCGACAGAUUCAAUCACCGGUCUGCUAAUACCUUUGAGGAUGAUGCGUGAUAGUCCAAAGAUGCUUUUGUAUGGCUUCAUCGGCGCUACAAGUGUAUGA
rnacentral:rRNA from 1 species